UACGUAGGCAGCAAGCGUUGUUCGGAGUUACUGGGCGUAAAGGGUGUGUAGGCGGCGCGGUAAGUCGGGUGUGAAAUCUCGGAGCUUAACUCCGAAACUGCAUUCGAUACUGCCGUGCUUGAGGACUGGAGAGGAGACUGGAAUUUACGGUGUAGCAGUGAAAUGCGUAGAUAUCGUAAGGAAGACCAGUGGCGAAGGCGGGUCUCUGGACAGUUCCUGACGCUGAGGCACGAAGGCCAGGGGAGCAAACGGG
rnacentral:rRNA from 1 species